rnacentral:rRNA from 1 species
CCUACGGGUGGCUGCAGUCGAGAAUCAUUCACAAUGGGGGAAACCCUGAUGGUGCGACGCCGCGUGGGGGAAUGAAGGUCUUCGGAUUGUAAACCCCUGUCAUGUGGGAGCAAAUUAAAAAGAUAGUACCACAAGAGGAAGAGACGGCUAACUCUGUGCCAGCAGCCGCGGUAAUACAGAGGUCUCAAGCGUUGUUCGGAAUCACUGGGCGUAAAGCGGGCGUAGGCUGGUUCGUAAGGCGGGUGUGAAAGGAGCGGGCUCAACCCGCAGACGGCAAAUGAUACUGCGAGACUAGAGUAAUGGAGGGGGAACCGGAAUUCUCGGUGUAGCAGUGAAAUGCGUAGAUA